AGACUAGGGUCAUCAAACUCCUCGUUCCACAAAGGCUCUUUCUGUUGGUCAUGUUUAGAAUCAUGACAUUUAAGAAAAAAAAAUGACAUGGAUAAACAAAUGCAUUGUUUUCCUCCUUACCGUCUAACUCUGCAGUUCCCGUUCUCCAAACCAGGAAGCGCAACUUGAUCAGAGAUGCGCGAUUAGUUGCGAAGAAAGCAAAGACGGACGUGCCCGCGGCGUCCAGCGCCAUUGUAGCGCCGAAGCCCUCGGUCGAUGCGCCGAGCGCCGUGAGAAGCUCGAGGCCGACGGUGAAAACGCCAAAAGACGAUGCUACAGCGUCAUCGGCAGCGACAAAUUCUGCCAGCAAAAUUCUAAAACCACCGGUGAAGAGCCAGAGAACUCACUUGGCCGCCAAAGGUUCAGGUUGUGCUAAUUGUGUGGUGCUGGAAGCUGAAAUACGGCGACUAAAAGAGGGUACGACUGUCCGUGUCUGGGACAACGUGCAUACAAUAGAAUAUGAUCACAAUCUCCAGGACACUAUUAUUCUGUCUAUCCUGCUAAUCAUACCCCGUUUUCUUCCAGAGCUACAGAGGUGCAAGGAAGAAAAGGAAGGAUGUGUGAAAAUGCACUGAAUUACACUUGUCAUUAUCUCACUGUAAAUGUUAAUGUAUUUUAAACACUGGAUGUAUAAUAAUAAAAUUGGUGUGACAUUGCAUUUCGGAG